GUGGCGAACGGGUGAGUAACACGUGGGCAAUCUGCCCUUCACUCUGGGACAAGCCCUGGAAACGGGGUCUAAUACCGGAUAACACUCUGUCCUGCAUGGGACGGGGUUAAAAGCUCCGGCGGUGAAGGAUGAGCCCGCGGCCUAUCAGCUUGUUGGUGGGGUAAUGGCCUACCAAGGCGACGACGGGUAGCCGGCCUGAGAGGGCGACCGGCCACACUGGGACUGAGACACGGCCCAGACUCCUACGGGAGGCAGCAGUGGGGAAUAUUGCACAAUGGGCGAAAGCCUGAUGCAGCGACGCCGCGUGAGGGAUGACGGCCUUCGGGUUGUAAACCUCUUUCAGCAGGGAAGAAGCGCAAGUGACGGUACCUGCAGAAGAAGCACCGGCUAACUACGUGCCAGCAGCCGCGGUAAUACGUAGGGUGCGAGCGUUGUCCGGAAUUAUUGGGCGUAAAGAGCUCGUAGGCGGCUUGUCACGUCGGAUGUGAAAGCUCGGGGCUUAACUCCGAGUCUGCAUUCGAUACGGGCUAGCUAGAGUGUGGUAGGGGAGAUCGGAAUUCCUGGUGUAGCGGUGAAAUGCGCAGAUAUCAGGAGGAACACCGGUGGCGAAGGCGGAUCUCUGGGCCAUUACUGACGCUGAGGAGCGAAAGCGUGGGGAGCGAACAGGAUUAGAUACCCUGGUAGUCCACGCCGUAAACGUUGGGAACUAGGUGUUGGCGACAUUCCACGUCGUCGGUGCCGCAGCUAACGCAUUAAGUUUCCCCGCCUGGGGAGUACGGCCGCAAGGCUAAAACUCAAAGGAAUUGACGGG
rnacentral:rRNA from 1 species